AGAGUUUGAUCCUGGCUCAGGAUGAACGCUAGCUACAGGCUUAACACAUGCAAGUCGAGGGGCAGCAUUUUAGUUUGCUUGCAAACUAAAGAUGGCGACCGGCGCACGGGUGAGUAACACGUAUCCAACCUGCCGAUAACUCGGGGAUAGCCUUUCGAAAGAAAGAUUAAUAUCCGAUAGUAUAUUAAAACCGCAUGGUUUUACUAUUAAAGAAUUUCGGUUAUCGAUGGGGAUGCGUUCCAUUAGUUUGUUGGCGGGGUAACGGCCCACCAAGACUACGAUGGAUAGGGGUUCUGAGAGGAAGGUCCCCCACAUUGGAACUGAGACACGGUCCAAACUCCUACGGGAGGCAGCAGUGAGGAAUAUUGGUCAAUGGACGAGAGUCUGAACCAGCCAAGUAGCGUGAAGGAUGACUGCCCUAUGGGUUGUAAACUUCUUUUAUAUGGGAAUAAAGUAUUCCACGUGUGGGAUUUUGUAUGUACCAUAUGAAUAAGGAUCGGCUAACUCCGUGCCAGCAGCCGCGGUAAUACGGAGGAUCCGAGCGUUAUCCGGAUUUAUUGGGUUUAAAGGGAGCGUAGGUGGAUUGUUAAGUCAGUUGUGAAAGUUUGCGGCUCAACCGUAAAAUUGCAGUUGAAACUGGCAGUCUUGAGUACAGUAGAGGUGGGCGGAAUUCGUGGUGUAGCGGUGAAAUGCUUAGAUAUCACGAAGAACUCCGAUCGCGAAGGCAGCUCACUAGACUGCAACUGACACUGAUGCUCGAAAGUGUGGGUAUCAAACAGGAUUAGAUACCCUGGUAGUCCACACAGUAAACGAUGAAUACUCGCUGUUUGCGAUAUACAGUAAGCGGCCAAGCGAAAGCAUUAAGUAUUCCACCUGGGGAGUACGCCGGCAACGGUGAAACUCAAAGGAAUUGACGGGGGCCCGCACAAGCGGAGGAACAUGUGGUUUAAUUCGAUGAUACGCGAGGAACCUUACCCGGGCUUAAAUUGCAUUUGAAUAAUCUGGAAACAGGUUAGCCGCAAGGCAAAUGUGAAGGUGCUGCAUGGUUGUCGUCAGCUCGUGCCGUGAGGUGUCGGCUUAAGUGCCAUAACGAGCGCAACCCUUAUCUUUAGUUACUAACAGGUCAUGCUGAGGACUCUAGAGAGACUGCCGUCGUAAGAUGUGAGGAAGGUGGGGAUGACGUCAAAUCAGCACGGCCCUUACGUCCGGGGCUACACACGUGUUACAAUGGGGGGUACAGAAGGCAGCUACCUGGCGACAGGAUGCUAAUCCCAAAAACCUCUCUCAGUUCGGAUCGAAGUCUGCAACCCGACUUCGUGAAGCUGGAUUCGCUAGUAAUCGCGCAUCAGCCAUGGCGCGGUGAAUACGUUCCCGGGCCUUGUACACACCGCCCGUCAAGCCAUGAAAGCCGGGGGUACCUGAAGUACGUAACCGCAAGGAGCGUCCUAGGGUAAAACUGGUAAUUGGGGCUAAGUCGUAACAAGGUA
rnacentral:rRNA from 1 species